rnacentral:rRNA from 1 species
UACGAAGGGGGCUAGCGUUGCUCGGAAUCACUGGGCGUAAAGCGCACGUAGGCGGAUUUUUAAGUCAGGGGUGAAAUCCUGGAGCUCAACUCCAGAACUGCCUUUGAUACUGGGAAUCUCGAGUCCGGGAGAGGUGAGUGGAACUGCGAGUGUAGAGGUGAAAUUCGUAGAUAUUCGGAAGAACACCAGUGGCGAAGGCGGCUCACUGGACCGGUAUUGACGCUGAGGUGCGAAAGCGUGGGGAGCAAACAGG